GAUGAACGCUAGCGGGAGGCUUAACACAUGCAAGUCGCGGGGCAGCACGGGGUAGCAAUACUCUGGUGGCGACCGGCGCACGGGUGAGUAACGCGUAUGCAACCUACCCAGUACAGGGGGAUAGCCCGGAGAAAUUCGGAUUAAUACCCCAUAAUGAUAUUUAGUGGCAUCAUUGAAUAUUUAAAGCUACGGCGGUACUGGAUGGGCAUGCGUAAGAUUAGCUAGUUGGUAGGGUAACGGCCUACCAAGGCUCCGAUCUUUAGGGGUCCUGAGAGGGUGAUCCCCCACACUGGUACUGAGACACGGACCAGACUCCUACGGGUGGCUG
rnacentral:rRNA from 1 species